rnacentral:rRNA from 1 species
UACGGGGGGGGCAAGCGUUGUUCGGAAUUACUGGGCGUAAAGGGUUCGUAGGUGGCCGACUAAGUCAGACGUGAAAUCCCUCAGCUCAACUGGGGAACUGCGUCUGAGACUGGCCGGCUUGAGUGCAGGAGAGGAACGCGGAAUUCCAGGUGUAGCGGUGAAAUGCGUAGAUAUCUGGAGGAACACCGGUGGCGAAGGCGGCAUCCUGGACCAAUAUUGACGCUGAGGAGCGAAAGCCAGGGGAGCAAACGGG